rnacentral:lncRNA from 12 species
CCUUUUUCCAACUAGAUGCCAGUUGUAAUUAAUAGCCAGAAUACUGUCCCAUAUUAGAGUGAUGAAGUAAAUAUAAUGCCCUUCAUCUACUUUAAUCAAGGUUCAUGGUGCUACAGAGGAGACAGGUCCUUGCAAGAACAUCUGGCAGCCAGAGUGGUAAUGUGAAUGCUUGGAAUUACUUAGUUGGGACAACACAAUGUGUCAGCAUUAAGCCACACAGGAUCAGAACAGUUCCUGUUAUGUGCAGGGAAACUGAAUAACUGAGAAUCACACGUUAGCCUCCAUUUUAUGGCUGGAAUCCCAGAAAUGCCAACGGGAACUGUGGAUGUUGACCAGAAAGAUGUGACCUAUCCAUCUCACUUGCAUGAAAGUGUGUGGUACCACCGUCCAACACAAAAGACUAAUGUGCCUGGAGAACAACAGCAACAGAGUGGCCGUAUAACAACAACAAGGACAAUAACAGUACCAUUUACAGAGUUCUCAGAUGAAAACAAAACACGAUAACAUAAAUUAUCAAAAGGAUAACGAAGAUUAAGGUAUGUUUGUGUGAUAAAUUAGUAGAGGAUAAUGAUUUCCUUCUAGGUAACUGAAUUGGGAAGAUAGAGGAUAGCUAAAUUCUCUCGGCAGAUUUGGAUAGUGUAUUUCUCCCAGUUUGAUGAUUUUCAAUCAUGUGAACCUAGAUCCCUAAGUAGUUUAUACCUUUAAUAUUUCCCCCAAAGCUAAGGAACUACAUAUGCUUACCCAAGAUAAGGUUAUAUGGCCUAACUUAAGUAUCAAAUUUCUAUUAAGUUAGUGUGGUAUUAAUUGUGCACACAUGUACCUUUGAUUGAUAAAAUGGAG